AUCGGCUCGGGGCCGUGCUUAAUGAUCCUUCACCCCCUUGGGUUAAAGGUAUGGAAGGAGUGUUAAGCGGAAGGAUGUCUCGCUCGAGGAGUAUUGGGUGUGAGGACAGGCGGCCUUUAAGGCAUGAAGUUCAUGCGACGGCCGAGUGCUAAACUUGAAGAGCGUUAACUGAGUGUUGGUAUACGAAGGACGAGUGCAUUGUCUUGAUAAGCAGCGGCCUGAUGAUCGAGUGUUUCCAUCUGAGCUGCUUCAGUACUAUGGAGGGAGAGAGUUUAUUUUCUUUGCUAAAGUCUAAAGUGGACUUGGUGCCAGCUUCCAAUUGCAGCAUAACUGUACUAGAAAAUAAGGACACCCAUUUUCAUCUUCAUGCAUGUUCUCCUUUCCUAGCAAGAGGGAGAAAUACAUUGAACACAAUAUAAUAAUACUUUUAUUGGUAACUCCCUAAGCAUUUGACUGCAUACUUAGGGGCUCAGUUCCAUUCCUCUCUUUUUUUUUUUUUUUUUUUGGCUAUUUGACAUGCUUCAAUUUGCAUUCAAAUUUUCCACUCACCUCACUCGAUUUUUUGUUAUUCUCAUCACCCAUCAAUGUCUUUUUAUUUAUUUAUUCUGAGACUAGAUCUUCAAUGCCUUCUCCUUGUAGCCAGCGGCCUCAGGAGGAGCCAACUAAGAGACCUGAUCGACGAGUUUGGUCAUAGCCAGAGGGUGUGGAUGGCUCGACGGAUCACAGCGAUUGACGUUCCUUUCACCAGAUUAUAUUGACGCUCAAGGGAACUAUUGACGUUAACGGACGGCUAAUGGCCAAGUGCUCACAUUUGAGCGGUGCACUGGCUCGAUAGGGUCAUCCUGGGUGAUGAACAGUAGACUAUGAGGAUGUCAGCCACUGGAGGCCGAGCGAUGGGGGCAGUUGAUCCCGUGAGGUCGUUCAGGUUGCGGUCGAUGAAUAAUUAGACUGCGCGGUUGGGUAGGGGACGGUUUGGUGCCCACACUGUCUCUCUCUCUGGGUUGGCCACCUAUGCUUGAUGGCUAAGUAAGCUAGUGUUUGAGUCUAUUUGCUAAGGCGCUAGGAAUUUGCAGGGGUGGAUGAUGCUUGGCAGAGUGCUGAAUUGCGGAGAGUCGUCCGUCCAUGGCGUGCGUUGUUGUUUAACGUCGAGCAACGACUCAUUCAUUAUGGGCGGCCACUAAGGCCGACGAUGCGGUUCCUGUGCAAACUUCGAAAAGGAAUUAGGUUAAAAUUCCCGAACCGGGAUGCGGUGGUUGACGGCAACACUAGGGAGUUCGGAGAUGUCAGUGGGGGUCUCGGGAAGAGUUAUAUUUUCUGUUUAACAGCCUGCCCACCCAGGAAACGACUCAAUCAGAGGUAGGGUCCAGCUGCUGAAAGAGUACCGCAUGUCGCGUGAUGUGCAGUGCGCCCUCGACGGCCCUUGAAAAUCCACAGGAUCGAGUACCGACUAUGCAUGGUGAUACUCAUAACUGCAUCAGGCCUACAAGGUGAACAGCCUCUGGUCGAUGGAACAAUGUAGACAAAAAAAUUAGGCAAAAUGGAUCCAUAACUUUGGGAAAAGGAUUGGCUCUGCGGGUGGGCACGGGGGUCCCAGUUCCGAACUCGUUAGUUGUCGGCGGACUGCUCGAGCUGUUCGCAUGGUGAGAGCGGGCCGCCGCGUGUUUGCGGGGGGACGGACUGAGAAUAGCCCCUUCGGGGGCCUUCCCUGGGCGUCAAACAGUCAACUCAGAAUUGGUACAGACAAGGAGAAUCCAACUGUUUAAUUAAAACAAAGCAUUAUGAUGGUCCCUGCUGAUGUUAACGCAAUGUGAUUUCUGCCCAGUACUCUGAAUGUCAAAGUGAAGAAAUUCAACCAAGCGCGGGUAAACAUCGGGAGUAACUAUGACUCUCUAAAGGUAGCCAAAUGCCUCCUCAUCUAUUUAGUGACAUGCAUGACAGGAUUAACGAGAUUCCCACUAUUCCUGUCUACUAUCUAGCAAAACCAUAGCCCAGGGAACAGGCUUGGCGGAAUCGGUAGGGAAAGAAGACCCUCCUGAGCUUGACUCUAGUCCGACUUUGUGAAAUGACUUGAGAGGUGUAACAUAAGUGGGAGCUUCGGCGCAAGUGAAAUAUCAAAACCUUUAACGUUAUUUUACUUACUCCGUGAGUCGGAGGCAGGGCAUCGCCCUUCUUUUUGGACCUAAGGCUCGCUUUGCAGGCUGAUCUAGGCGGAGGAUAUAGUCAGGUGGGGAGUUUGGCUGGGGCAGCACAUCUGUUAAAAGAUAACGCAGGUAUCCUAAGAUGAGCUCAACGAGAAUAGAAAUCUUGUGUGGAAUAGAAGGGUAAAAGCUCGUUUGAUUCUGAUUUUCAGUACGAAUACGAACGGUGAAAGCGUGGCCUAGCGAUCCUUUAGACCUUCGAAAUUUGAAGCUAGAGGUGUCAACAAAGUUACCACAGGGAUAACUGGCUUGUGGCAGCCAAGCAUUCAUAACGACAUUGCUUUUUGAUUCUUCGAUGUCGACUCUUCCUAUCGUUGUGAAGCAGAAUUCACCAAGUGUUGGAUUGUUCACUCACCAAUACGGAACGUGAGCUGGGUUUAGACUGUCGUGAGAUAGAUUAGUUUCAUCCUACUGAUGAUAGUGUCGCGAUGGUAAUUCAAUCUAGUAGAAGAGGAACCAUUGAUUCGCAUAAUUGGUUAUCGCACUUGGUUAAAAAGCCAGUGGCGCCAAGUUACCAUGCGAUGGAUUAUGAUUGAACGCCUCUAAGUCAGAAUCUAGGACAAAAGCAACGCAUGUGCCCGCUAGCCAAUUGCCGACUUGCAGUAGGGGCCUCGGCCGCCAAGGGCACGUGUAGUAGGCUAAGCCAACGCAGCGGAUGCGCCACGAAGGGCGCCUUGAAGUACAAUUCGUACCGAGCGAUGGGUUGAAUCCUUUGCA
rnacentral:rRNA from 1 species